UACAGAGGCCUCGAGCGUUAGGCGGAAUCACUGGGCUUAAAGCGUGUGUAGGCGGACUUCUAAGUACCUUGUGAAAUCCCACGGCUCACCCGUGGAACUGCUUGGUAUACUGGUUGUCUUGAGCCUUCUAGGGGCGAGUGGAACAAAUGGUGGAGCGGUGAAAUGCGUAGAUAUCAGGAGGAACACCGAUGGCGAAGGCAGCUCGCUGGGACGGUACUGACGCUGAGGCGCGAAAGCGUGGGGAGCGAACAGG
rnacentral:rRNA from 1 species